GUGAGUGAUCACUGUCCUGAUAUCCAGAAGCUCUUUGUCUAAUCCGAAGUGAGUCUCUGUCCUGAUAUCCAGAAGCUCUUUGUCUAAUCCGAGGUGAGUCUCUGUCCUGAUAUCCAGAAGCUCUUUGUCUAAUCCGAGGUGAGUCACUGUCCUGAUAUCCAGAAGCUCUUUGUCUAAUCCGAGGUGAGUCACUGUCCUGAUAUCCAGAAGCUCUUUGUCUAAUCUGAGGUGAGUCACUGUCCUGAUAUCCAGAAGCUCUUUGUCUAAUCUGAGGUGAGUGAUCACUGUCCUGAUAUCCAGAA
ensembl:lncRNA